rnacentral:lncRNA from 1 species
GAAUGAUAGUUGGCAUCCUCUCCCAUGUCCAAAUCUGCCAAUUCAAAAAAAAUCAUAUAUGAUAUGUUCAAUCAAAAUUAUAAUAUAAUGUAGAAAAUUAAAAUUUAUAUUUUUUAUACCUGCAAUAAUAUAAGAUAACCUCCGAUCUCUAACUGAUCUGUCGUAGAAUCCCGACACAUAGCCCUAUAUAGGCAAGCUAGUACUUUACUGUCCUAACUAAGCCUACGAGUGAAAUCUAAAUCCUCUAAUAAUGAUAAAAAUAUCAAUUUCAUCUUGUUCGAUGA